CUGCGUAACCAGGGAGUCUUUCAGAGUAAGUGAAUGAGAAUCCCAUGCUGAGUGAUCUGUUGUUAGCUUACAAGGCCUCUUGGUUUGGUUUAGUUUGUCUGGUUAGCACCUUUCCCGAAGGGUUGCUUGGUUUUACUGAUGUGGUUCUUGUAGUUAUCACUUCCACAUUAACAUGUCAGAAUUUUGGGGGUUCAAAGCUGCGAAGGAGUUAGUGAGGGAUUUUUCAUGGUUUAGAACCAUGUGGGUGAUUCAGCUAAAUGUAAAGGUAGGCAAUGGUUCACUUGUCCUUCCGUAACCUGUAUAUGAUCUAUAUGUAUGAGAAUUAGCUAAUGAAGACUGCUUUUCUCCCUGUUUCUCAGUAGUUCCAGGAGAGGAAUCCACUUCUGCUGUCUUGGGAGAAGUCUGAGGCUUGCCAUGGGUCACACAUCUUCUGAAACAGGCCAAUCCUAUGUUUCUCUUUUUUGCCCUGAGAUGAAUGGAACCGUUCCAAAUGGAAGCUGAAUUAUUCAGAUUCCUCUCUUCAGUGUUGUCUGAGCAUGGAAUACCAAUUAAAAUGUUAAUUUAGCAUUAUCACAAGACCCACUUUGAUAUUAUGGAGGUGUCUAGAAGUUCGAACUGCCUUGCUUAGACUGAGCUCUUCCAGGUUUUUAUUCAUAGCAUUCAAUUUCCUAACAUAUUUGCUAUGUCUGAAUAGAACCUGUCUCAGUUUUGUAGUUGAAAACACCUCUGAUGAGUUAAUUAACCACUGUUGAGAUGUUUUUGAAUGGAAGCAUUUUAUGUGUUGUCCUGUUUGUAGUAUUUAAUGAAUACUUUCUGUGGGACUCUCCCUAGACAGGUUAGUCAAAACCUUUGAGUCUUGUGAUUCAAUUGCUAUGUUACUGCUGGAGCCCAUUUGCCUGCAUAGUUCCUGAGAGGACAAAUUUUUUUCUUAAAGGUUAAACUGCUUAGUCUAGAAACUUCUUUACAGUGCCUUAAGAAUUUUGAUAAAAAUAACUGUCAGAUAUUGUCCUAUUUUUCCCCCAAUUUUUUUCAUGAAAUUUGUAUACUCCAGGAGCAAUCCUGAAGGCUGUACUGUUCUGUGUUGCUAGUGUCUAAUAAAUGAACUUUUCCUUCUUUAAGACUAUGUAUAGAGUACUCUUUAUGGGCUGCUCUAGAACGAGGGCUGAGGUGUCUCCUUGUUUCAGUAGCCUUGUCUGUCAUCAGCGCUUUGUGUCCUAUCUAGUUAAGCUUUCAAGUGGGAAGCAUAACAGCUCAAACUAGAGGAAAAAACAAGAAUCUGAAGGUUAAACCUCAAGUGACAGGAAUUGGCAUGUUCCGGGAUGUCUGUGCUGGGAAGAUGGGACAGAUGUGCUAGCUCCUCAACUGGACUCAAAUAGUUUGCCUUUAAUAGGCAACAUUAUAAAUAAUUUUGGGAUAUUUUCAUCUGGUUUAGGGUGUCUAAUUUGAAAUUUUCCUCCUUUUUUCUCCCUAAACUUCAUUGGAAAAUUUUAAUACAGCCACCAGUGUAGAGUUCAAUGUCACACUUUCUUAGAUGGAAAACUGGAGAUUUUACAAACACUCAGGUUAUUAAAAUAAUGCUUAUACAGUGUUGAGGCAUGAGGUGGGCACGGUAGGCUUAAAUCAGCUGAUUUUGAUGCAGUCAUGCUGUGAUAAUAAAACAUGCAGAGGGAAUUCAGUUUUAUUGCGGUGUACCUGCAAUGACUUCACAUUUUUGUAGAAUCUUUUUACAUGUUGAACUAGCAGAACUCCUUGCAUGUAACCUGUUCAGUCAAGCGCUUGAUUUACCAUCUCUGUUUGGGGCUGCUCCUAAAAGACAGAAGAUGCUGUCUUGUUUCAGUAGUUCUGAGAACUAAAGUUAAGGUAAAGCAAUGACUAUUGAACUUCUUCCCAAUUUCUCUGUUCAGUUUUGGCUUUUUGUAAGGAUUUUUUGGGGGUCAAUUUCUUGGAAAAAAUAUGAUGAACAUUAUAUUAAAUUUGUUAAUAGACUGAAUUAAAACUUCAUGUGUAGUUAUGCAACACAGUUACUUGAAGCAGCUGAACACAUCCUCAUCAAGGCUUUCGACAACUUGUGUCAGUUCAGUAGCAUUCAUUGACUUUCACUGUCAAUGAAAGUAGGUUGAAGAAAUCUCUUAGGGGCAGUCAUGAUGGUGUGCCUUCAUGACUGCAAAAAAUCCGAGUACUAAUAUGCUUUUACAAUUGAAAAAAGAGCCUUUUCCCCUUGUAGCUCUUGAGACUUGUCAAUCUGGUUUUUUUCUCCUGUUGAUAUCUGUCUGUAUUUUCUGGUUUCUGGAGCGGAUGUGAUUCCUUUUGUAUCUGAAUGCAGCUUUUCAUGUACAUCAAUGAAAUCCAAACAGUAUUUAUGGUGAUUAUACUGUUGUUCUUAGAUAACAUUCCCAAAAGUACCAACAUCUAGAGAAUAUUGGACCAUAUUUAUCCAUAUUUAGGCCAAGGCAGAUCUUUCUGGUGUGUACAUCUUCUGAAGGAAUAGAAAUAUAUUCACAUCUUAGUCUUUGACAGUCUCAGUGCAGGAGCGAAUCGCACAGGUGAUUUUUGAUCAAGACUUCUUUUAGGGAAGAAGCAUCAAACACUUUAUUGCAGUUCAGUUUUGUAACCAAUUUUAAAUUGUAAUUAAACAUUAAUGCAGAAUGACUUCAUUCUAUUCUUAGGCUGUUUACUAUUAAGCUGCUGUUCAUUUUUCUGAAUGUUAUGCCUUAAAUUAAAAGAUGCAAGACCACUGGAAUUUGAAUGCUGUGAAGGUUAGAGUGAAAAGUAACCCAUGACUGUACAGACCCCCUGGGACUGUAGCAAAGAAGAAAAGGAAGAUAAUGGGAGGUUUUUCAGGAAGGAGCCUAACUAGCAGCUGAACUUGUUGGUUUCAGGUGAUGGAGGAGCUCAGUGCAGGGCAACAGAGCUACUCAUUGAAGAGCACAUCCAUGCUUCUCAUGUAAUGUCUGUCCAGAGUGGCUUAAUUACUUUUGAUCUGUGUUAGUGAGUGUGGUGGAAACCCCCCAGCUUUAAUAUGAAAACUCUGCAGUGUGCCACUUAAUGGUUUAAAACCUCACAGCUGAAAAGUCUGUAAACUGAGUGGUUAUGAGAUGGAACUAGAGGACUGACCCAUAUUCAGUGUUUCAUUUCUUCAUUGCCGUGACUGAGCAAAUAGAACGAGAUUUUUUUGCUUUGUUCUUUCAUGUAUUUCCUAUUUCAGAAAGAAAAGUAAAGCUAAUUAGUGACAAAACCCGCAAGAGUUAAUGAAUUUAUUUAUCGCCAUGUAUUUUUGUCACUGUCACAAGGUUUGAUGUGUAUCCCAAGGGAAAUCUUGCCCAUGCAUUGAUAAUCAGUCAUAUUGUUCUACGUUUAUCAACUAUGCCAGUGCUUAUUAGGAUUUACUUAGUGGAAAAAAGUACUGAC